UUACAAGAAGUUGGACUAAAAUGC
rnacentral:miRNA from 1 species